CCGUAGGUGAACCUGCGGAAGGAUCAUUAAUGAAUUUUAGGACUCUCUUUUUAGAGGUCCGACCCUUUCAUUUCCAUACACUGUGCACACACUUCUUUUCACACAUUUUAACACUAUAGUAUAAGAAUGUAACAGUCUCUUUAUUGAGCAUAAAUAAAAAUAAAACUUUCAGCAACGGAUCUCUUGGCUCUCGCAUCGAUGAAGAACGCAGCGAAUUGCGAUAAGUAAUGUGAAUUGCAGAAUUCAGUGAAUCAUCGAAUCUUUGAACGCACCUUGCACUCUUUGGUAUUCCGAAGAGUAUGUCUGUUUGAGUGUCAUGAAACUCUCAACCCCCCUGUUUUGUAAUGAGAUGGGCGUGGGCUUGGAUUAUGACUGUUGUCGGCGUAAUUGCCGGCUCAGUUGAAAUAUACGAGCAACCCAUUUGAAAUAAACGGCUUGACUCGGCGUAAUAAUUAUUUCGCUGAGGACGUUUUCUUCAAAAGUUAGAGGUGCUUCUAAUGCGCUAUUACAGCACUUUAAAUUUUAGACCUCAAAUCAGUCAGGACUACCCGCUGAACUUAAGCAUAUCAAUAAGCGGAGGAA
rnacentral:rRNA from 1 species